rnacentral:rRNA from 1 species
GCGUGGGUAAUCUACCUUCGAAUUGGGGAUAACGUUGCGAAAGCGACGCUAAUACCGAAUAAUAUCCAUUGAUCUUCGGAUCUUUGGAUCAAGGAUGGCCUCUACAUGUAAGCUAUUGUUUGAAGAUGAGCCCGCGUACCAUUAGCUUGUUGGUGGGGUAACGGCCUACCAAGGCAACGAUGGUUAGCUGGUCUGAGAGGAUGAUCAGCCACACUGGAACUGACACACGGUCCAGACUCCUACGGGAGGCAGCAGUGAGGAAUUUUGCGCAAUGGGCGAAAGCCUGACGCAGCAACGCCGCGUGAGUGAUGAAGGCCUUCGGGUCGUAAAGCUCUGUCAAGUGGGAAGAACCUAUAUAAUGCCAAUACCAUUAUAUACUGACGGUACCACUGAAGGAAGCACCGGCUAACUCCGUGCCAGCAGCCGCGGUAAUACGGGGGGUGCAAGCGUUAUUCGGAAUCAUUGGGCGUAAAGAGCACGUAGGCGGCCUGGUAAGUCAGAUGUGAAGGCCCGGGGCUUAACCCCGGAAGUGCAUUUGAUACUGUCAGGCUUGAGUAUGGGAGAGGGAAGUGGAAUUCCUGGUGUAGAGGUGAAAUUCGUAGAUAUCAGGAGGAACACCGGUGGCGAAGGCGACUUCCUGGACCAAUACUGACGCUGAG